UACGUAGGGGGCAAGCGUUGUCCGGAAUUAUUGGGCGUAAAGCGCGCGCAGGCGGUUUUGUAAGUCUGGUGUAUAAACCCAGGGCUCAACCCUGGGAGGCACGGGAAACUGCAAGACUGGAGUACAGGAGAGGAAAGUGGAAUUCCACGUGUAGCGGUGAAAUGCGUAGAGAUGUGGAGGAACACCAGUGGCGAAGGCGACUUUCUGGCCUGAAACUGACGCUGAGGCGCGAAAGCGUGGGGAGCAAACAGG
rnacentral:rRNA from 1 species